rnacentral:rRNA from 1 species
GACGAACGCUGGCGGCGUGCUUAACACAUGCAAGUCGAACGGAAAGGCCCUGCUUUUGUGGGGUGCUCGAGUGGCGAACGGGUGAGUAACACGUGAGUAACCUGCCCUUGACUCUGGGAUAACUUCAGGAAACUGGGGCUAAUACCGGAUAGGAGCUCCUGCUGCAUGGUGGGGGUUGGAAAGUUUCGGCGGUUGGGGAUGGGCUCGCGGCUUAUCAGCUUGUUGGUGGGGUAGUGGCUUACCAAGGCUUUGACGGGUAGCCGGCCUGAGAGGGUGACCGGCCACAUUGGGACUGAGAUACGGCCCAGACUCCUACGGGAGGCAGCAGUGGGGAAUAUUGCACAAUGGGCGGAAGCCUGAUGCAGCAACGCCGCGUGCGGGAUGACGGCCUUCGGGUUGUAAACCGCUUUCGCCUGUGACGAAGCGUGAGUGACGGUAAUGGGUGAAGAAGCACCGGCUAACUACGUG